rnacentral:lncRNA from 1 species
UUCUUACAAUUGAGCUCUCUCGAGAUGGGUUUUCUUCCUGCAAAACAGGUAUUCAACUAGUGACUUUCUGCUUAAAUUUAGGUUUCUGAUUAAAUUUAGGUUUCUAUUCAAUUGUGCUCUCUGGAGAUGGGUUUUCUUCUAUGGGUGAGUUUGUUUAAACUUAAAAAAAGCAACUUUAAAAUAAGUGCUUUUAUAUAAGCGCUUUUUUAAGUAGAUAAGAUUUUGCUUCUUAGAAUAAGCAGAACAAAACUGUUUUUUUUAAGCAAAAACAUUUUAGACAAACACACCAAAAAAACAAAAAGUUGCUUAUUUUAUUAAAAUAAACACUUAUUUCGACAAAUAAGUUUAAACAAAUUGGCCCUAUAUCUCAACACGUAAGGGUGAGCUCUUAUAAUUUUAUAUUGAGUAUGCACACUGGAAAAAUCCAUUCCAUUAAAGAAGCAGGCAUUAGGCCACAUAAUGUGCAAAAUCAUAGCCUAUCAAGAAACCUCUUGACCUUGUAAAAGAAUAGUGUGCUCUACAAUUACAUUGCAAAUGCAAAUUCUGAACCACAAUAAGUAUGCAAGAUUUGUCCUUUGAUUGUAUUUAAAGACAUACACAUACACAUAAUCACUGAGUAUGUGGGAUAUAUUCAGUGAGAGAACUUGAUGCAAAAGACAGAGAGAGGAGUCAUAAAAAGCCAAUGACUCAAAUUAAAACACCCACAGCCACAGGUCAGAACUGACUUUCCUUACAUAUCAUUAAAUGUCUCCACUAUAUAUCAAAUGGUUGAAGCACAAAAAAUUAUACCUGCAACAAAGCCACAAAAGAUGAUACCAGGCCAUUAAUGCUAGAGCACAGAUCUGUAGACAACUUUACAGUCUUUAGACUGCUCUCCAAAAAGAGACGAUACGCAUUCAUUCCGCAAGAUUUAUAUAAUUCAGUCAGAUAAACAUAGAAGAUCAUACAUGAAAAAUAAUGUGAAAUUUACAAAACAUAAAACAGAACAAACAAAAAUGCCAAUUUUUAUUCUCUUCCAUGUUUAUGACAUAUCUAGAGGACUACAAACCCAUCAAGGCGGCAUAGCAUGUUGAUCUCUUGGGCAAAACAAUCACGCAGAGGAAGCACAACAGGAACUUCCCAUCUAGCAUCAACAUACUGUAUAUCUGCAGGUAAUGAGUAUCCUUGACCCUGUUAAAACAAGGACAUGAAAAUCGAUUACACAAGGUCAUUCCUUAAGCAGAAUGAAAGAGAGAGGAGCAAGAUAGAUAGAUAAGGUCAUAAGGAAUACUACACAGUAUAAGCAACACAAUUUGAUUUUAUCGAGAGACAAGAGCAAUGUAGACACAAAUCCUAAAAUCCACAUACUUAUAGAAAACUUAACUUGAAAAAGUAUGAGGAAGCUAUAAGAUUUGCCGAUUUCAUGUGUCACCUUGAACUCAAAGAUUACUCAGUUCAAAACUUCAAAUUGUCAUAGUUAACACUUAACAUGCAUUUUCACUCCCAUUAUAUUGAGAAUCAGUCAAGACUCAAGAGAAAGCUUCUUGAUAGCAGCUCAGGCAUAUAUUAUAUUCUUCAAAUAAAUGAAAUCUAGCAAUUGAAUUGUACUAACCAAACGCAAAAGUUCAUUCAGUGAUACUCCUGAUCAGUAGACACAGCAACUGGAUACUUUUACCCCUUAAAACAAAAUUUCUAACAGUCUAAAAUGUCUCUUAUCCACUUCACAAAAUGUUUAUAUGGGUAGUUAAUGCAACAAAUGAGAUGCAAAUAAAAGUAUGCUUAUAAAUUCAACAACUAACUCUUGUAAUAUUAUGCUUUAAGAUAAACUAGACAAACCACAUGAGAAAAUCCAAAAAGCAAGCAAUGUUGUGGAGUGGAGAACAUUCAAUUUGGCAAGCUGAUUCGCAAGUCAUGACAGAAAAUUCUUAAUUCUCUCCUAAUAACAGUAAUGACUGUCACUCAGUCAAAUCCAAUAACAAACCUUCACAGUGGCUGAAAUGACAUGGCAAGCAAUCCUCGAAAUGCAUGACCCCAGAAUGAUCCUGUUAUACCCAAAUUCAGAAGCAACCUAUACAACCAAAAAGAAUUUCAAACAAACUCACUCUCAAGCAAACAUGGGUUAACAAGCUUCAAACAGAUAUAAUUCACAACAAUACGACAUCGACAUCCAGAAACAAACCUUUUGCAGUGCCAACAUUCGCAGACAGAGCAACACAUCCUCCCUUCCCGUCGGAUCACUACCUUGGCUAUCCUCUCCUUCCCAUCAUCAGAAUCCGAUGAGUAAGCCGUGUCAAUAGGAACAAUACGCAACUCCUUCCUCGGUGUGGCCAAACUCGACACAACCUCACUAACAACUCCAACCGCUUCCUCCAUUUCAUUAGAAGGAAUCGGCAGCACGGUACUCUCAUUAAUAAACACAACUCCAACACCAAAAACCGGCAACGACCGAUCCCUACUCGCAUCAAAGUUCCUCUGAGCCCUCUCUUGCAUGUCAUGCACAAAUUGCAAAGCUACCCUAAACAAAAUAAAGCACACUUUUUCACCCUCUAUAAAAAUGGAAUAACCAAAAUUGAAUUAACCCAACAUUUCAAAUCACGAAUUAAAUUAAAUCAAACAAAUUUAGCAACAAAAAGGGGAUUGGGUUUGUGUUGACCUGGAAGAAGGGCCACCAGAGAAGGCAACGAGGACUUUGUCGGUGGGACUUAUCAUGGCGUUUGAAGUGACGGCGGAACGAAACUUGCCGAACAAGUUGGUUUUGAAGCAAUCGGCGCAGAAGCGACCGUCGUCGAUUCCAGUAAUUUAUCGCGUGUUACAAGGUAUAAAUGUUUGUUUUUAUUUUUUUAGCUUUAAAAAAUGUUUAUUUUUAAUAAAUAUAUAUUUUUUAAUAUAUAAGUUAUAUUUAAAAUUAAUAAUAAAUUAUUUAAAUUUUGAUAUAAGAUUAAUUUUAACUAAUGAUAAUUCUAUAUAAAAAAAUUUAUUCGAUUUAGAAAUAGCUAAAAAUUAUUGUUAUAGUUUGGUAUUUUUUUACUAUUGACUUUGUCAAUCGACAUUUGAAAUUUGAAUAUACCGAAAACGCUUCUUGUGUUUGUUGAUGGGUACGUAUCAAUAUGCAGGUGACAUGUCCCUAAUUUGCAUUGUGUUGGAUAUACUACAAACAAGCGAUGUUUGGUGGGUGCCAUAUGUAACCGACAUAGAUCAGAGACCUCUUUUUUAGGACGUCUCAAUGCUCUUUGGCUACAUCAAAUAUGAUUCAAUGUCACAUGUCCAUCUACCAAAAAGGGUGUUAUGAUAGUUGAACAUGUGUAGGGUGUUCCUCACUCAUCACACGUGAUUUUUGGUCAUCCAUCAUAUGCUAUGAAGACCAUGAUCAAAG